GUCGCAAGAUUAAAACUCAAAGGAAUUGACGGGGACCCGCACAAGCGGUGGAUGAUGUGGAUUAAUUCGAUGCAACGCGAAAAACCUUACCUACCCUUGACAUGUCCGGAAUCCUGAAGAGAUUUGGGAGUGCUCGCAAGAGAGCCGGAACACAGGUGCUGCAUGGCUGUCGUCAGCUCGUGUCGUGAGAUGUUGGGUUAAGUCCCGCAACGAGCGCAACCCUUAUCCUUAGUUGCCAUCAUUCAGUUGGGCACUCUAAUGAGACUGCCGGUGACAAACCGGAGGAAGGUGGGGAUGACGUCAAGUCCUCAUGGCCCUUAUGGGUAGGGCUUCACACGUCAUACAAUGGUCGGUACAGAGGGUUGCCAACCCGCGAGGGGGGGCUAAUCUCACAAAGCCGAUCGUAGUCCGGAUCGCAGUCUGCAACUCGACUGCGUGAAGUCGGAAUCGCUAGUAAUCGUGGAUCAGCAUGUCACGGUGAAUACGUUCCCGGGUCUUGUACACACCGCCCGUCACACCAUGGGAGUGGGUUCCACCAGAAGUAGGUAGUCUAACCGCAAGG
rnacentral:rRNA from 1 species